AUACGGAGGGGGCUAGCGUUGUUCGGAAUUACUGGGCGUAAAGCGUACGUAGGCGGACUGAUCAGUUGGGGGUGAAAUCCCAGGGCUUAACCCUGGAACUGCCUUCAAUACUGUCAGUAUUGAGUUUGGGAGAGGUGAGUGGAAUUCCUAGUGUAGAGGUGAAAUUCAUAGAUAUUAGGAGGAACACCAGUGGCGAAGGCGGCUCACUGGCCCAUUACUGACGCUGAGGUACGAAAGCGUGGGGAGCAAACAGGAUUAGAUACCCUAGUAGUCC
rnacentral:rRNA from 1 species